GGAGACUUGGCAGUGUGGGUGGGUGAGGUGUCCCCACAGACGAGUUUGCCCUGAGCAUUACUGGAUGUAGCAGCCUCAGUGUCAAGAAGAGCGACAGGAUGCCAACUCCCAUGCAGAGACAGACCCAGGUGAAAACAUCAAAGCUCAGGGAGGCUGCAUCACUGAAUCAACUUUGCACAGCCAAGAAGAGGACUUUAAACUGAGGAUAUCCAGGUAUGUUUGUAAAUCACAAAAACAAGAAGUCAGGUUUAAAGACCUCUGAGAGCAGUAUGUGAGGCCAAAGCAUUCAGGUGGAACUGGAAGUCAUCACGAAGCAAACUUGGCUGCUUUGUUUGUCCUCUAUAAUAGCCAAGCAGGUGCUGCAGCUCUGCGUUUCCUCACCUUGGCCUCCAUGUCAUUGAGGUGGGGCCUUUCCAGCUCAGAUGGAAAAAGGCAAGUGUGUAAAUAUUUGGGCGUGUGACAGGGGGCAGCCAUCUCUUGUGUAUCAAAGGAGUCCCUGGCCACUUCUCCCCAUUUCUGGAGGUAAAGAUUCCCAUGAAAGGUACUAAGAGCAUUGGGCCCCUUAUCCCCAGAACCCAUGAAUAUGUUAUUUUAUAUGAUGAAAGGGACUUUGCAAAUAUGA